GACAGUUUGGCCGAGUGGUCUAAGGCGCUGGCUAAAGGCGCCAGUCCGAAAGGGCGUGGGUUCGAACCCCACAGCUGUCA
rfam:Perkinsus marinus ATCC 50983 gcontig_1104296615514, whole genome shotgun sequence.